rnacentral:rRNA from 1 species
UACGGGGGGUGCGAGCGUUGUCCGGAAUCACUGGGCGUAAAGGGCGCGUAGGUGGUUUGUCGCGUUGUUCGUGAAAUCUCACGGCUUAACUGUGAGCGUGCGGGCGAUACGGGCAGACUAGAGUACUGCAGGGGAGACUGGAAUUCCUGGUGUAGCGGUGGAAUGCGCAGAUAUCAGGAGGAACACCGGUGGCGAAGGCGGGUCUCUGGGCAACAACUGACGCUGAGGAGCGAAAGCGUGGGGAGCGAACAGG